rnacentral:rRNA from 1 species
UACGAAGGGGGCUAGCGUUGCUCGGAAUUACUGGGCGUAAAGCGCACGUAGGCGGCUUUCUAAGUCGGGGGUGAAAUCCUGGAGCUCAACUCCAGGACUGCCUUCGAUACUGGAAAGCUCGAGUCCGGGAGAGGUGAGUGGAACUGCGAGUGUAGAGGUGAAAUUCGUAGAUAUUCGCAAGAACACCAGUGGCGAAGGCGGCUCACUGGCCCGGUACUGACGCUGAGGUGCGAAAGCGUGGGGAGCAAACAGG